rnacentral:rRNA from 1 species
ACUCCUACGGGAGGCAGCAGUGGGGAAUAUUGCACAAUGGGCGCAAGCCUGAUGCAGCCAUGCCGCGUGUAUGAAGAAGGCCUUCGGGUUGUAAAGUACUUUCAGCAGUGAGGAAGGUGGAUAUGUUAAUAGCAUAUUCAUUUGACGUUAGCUGCAGAAGAAGCACCGGCUAACUCCGUGCCAGCAGCCGCGGUAAUACGGAGGGUGCGAGCGUUAAUCGGAAUUACUGGGCGUAAAGCGCAUGCAGGUGGUUUGUUAAGUCAGAUGUGAAAGCCCGGGGCUCAACCUCGGAAUUGCAUUUGAAACUGGCAAACUAGAGUACUGUAGAGGGGGGUAGAAUUUCAGGUGUAGCGGUGAAAUGCGUAGAGAUCUGAAGGAAUACCGGUGGCGAAGGCGGCCCCCUGGACAGAUACUGACACUCAGAUGCGAAAGCGUGGGGAGCAAACAGGAUUAGAUACCCUGGGAGCUCU